CCUACGGGAGGCAGCAGUGAGGAAUAUUGGUCAAUGGACGAGAGUCUGAACCAGCCAAGUAGCGUGAAGGAUGACUGCCCUAUGGGUUGUAAACUUCUUUUAUAUGGGAAUAAAGUGUUCCACGUGUGGGAUUUUGUAUGUACCAUAUGAAUAAGGAUCGGCUAACUCCGUGCCAGCAGCCGCGGUAAUACGGAGGAUCCGAGCGUUAUCCGGAUUUAUUGGGUUUAAAGGGAGCGUAGAUGGAUUGUUAAGUCAGUUGUGAAAGUUUGCGGCUCAACCGUAAAAUUGCAGUUGAUACUGGCAGUCUUGAGUACAGUAGAGGUAGGCGGAAUUCGUGGUGUAGCGGUGAAAUGCUUAGAUAUCACGAAGAACUCCGAUUGCGAAGGCAGUUCACUGGACUGCAACUGACACUGAGGCUCGAAAGUGUGGGUAUCAAACAGGAUUAGAUACCCGUGUAGUC
rnacentral:rRNA from 1 species